rnacentral:rRNA from 1 species
AGUGAACGCUGGCGGUAGGCCUAACACAUGCAAGUCGAACGGCAGCACAGUAAGAGCUUGCUCUUACGGGUGGCGAGUGGCGGACGGGUGAGGAAUACAUCGGAAUCUACUUUUUCGUGGGGGAUAACGUAGGGAAACUUACGCUAAUACCGCAUACGACCUACGGGUGAAAGCAGGGGAUCUUCGGACCUUGCGCGAUUGAAUGAGCCGAUGUCGGAUUAGCUAGUUGGCGGGGUAAAGGCCCACCAAGGCGACGAUCCGUAGCUGGUCUGAGAGGAUGAUCAGCCACACUGGAACUGAGACACGGUCCAGACUCCUACGGGGGGCAGCAGUGGGGAAUAUUGGACAAUGGGCGCAAGCCUGACCCAGCCACACCGCGUGAGUGAAGAAGGCCUUCGGAUCGUAAAGCUCUUUUAUUGGGGAAGAAAAACAGUGUGUUAAACCACCGCUGUCUUGACGGUACCCAAUGAGAAAGCCCCGGCUAACUUCGUG